AUUGAACGCUGGCGGCAGGCCUAACACAUGCAAGUCGAACGAGUGGCAGACGGGUGAGUAAGGUCUGGGAAACUGCCUGGUGGCGGGGGAUAACUACUGGAAACGGUAGCUAAUACCGCAUACCAUCAGAAGGGCCCAGAGGGGAUUAGCUAGUUGGUUGGGUAACGGCUCACCAAGGCGACGAUCCCUAGCUGGUCGGGGAGGAUGACCAGCCACAUGGGAACUGAGAUACGGUCCAGACUCCUACGUGAGGCAGCAGUGGGGAAUAUUGCACAAUGGGCGCAAGCCGGAUGCAGCCAUGCCGCGUGUAUGAAGAAGGCCUUCGGGUUGUAAAGUACUUUCAGCGGGGAGGCGUUACCCGCAGAAGAAGCACCGGCUAACUCCGUGCCAGCCGCCGCGGUAAUAC
rnacentral:rRNA from 1 species